rnacentral:lncRNA from 1 species
CGCGCUUCCCUCCACCAAGAAGGACCCAGGAGACAUGGAGGCCCAGAAGAUGAGGAGAGAAGGGAGGAUGAAUGGUGAACAACCAUGUGGAAAACCCCUCAGAGCGCGAGUUGGAGGCUCAGGGCCUGGUCAGGCCUUCGGGGUAUGUGGGGACUGAAGGAGAGGUUGGCCGUGGCUCAGUGACCUGCAGCUCUGUCACUCUGCAGCUCUCACUUCUUCCUGCUCAUGAUCUGCUUGGAAAUCCAGCUCAUUCCAUCCUGAGGGGAAGAGAGGGCUGAGCACGGCCUGGUGUUACCCACCUGCAGCGCUGGCAGCCACUCACUCCGUACCUGCACACCUUCUCCAGACAGAGCCGAGCAGGCCUGGAUCUGCCACUCUCGGUCCCGGCACUGGUGAUGAGUCCCAAGAAGCCGUGAGGUCUCCACAACCCAAGGGGAGAUGGGAACCCUUGAAGCUACAUCUGCCCUGAGGAGAACCUGGAGCCGCACUCAGCACUGCCUUGGGGACAAAACAUUCCUGGCACCCUGAGCACCUCGGGCAAAGGGCAGCUGCUGCCCGCCCACACUGUCUGGCACCCACGGCUCUGUUCCUGGCAGUCUGGUGUCAUCAUGGCCUCAGCUGACACUGUCUCACCUUCCAUUCUUUGCUUUGCUUUCCAGCUUUUAUAUCUCCCAUUUCACUACCUGAGUAAACGGCUUUGUUGCAUGGCCAUGUCAGAG